UCCUCCCUUGGUCGACACAACAAGAAUCCGCCUUUUUAGCGUCUGCAUUUAGCGUCCGACGAUACAAGCGGACGGUAAAUUUAAAAUUAGCGUCCGAUUAAAGACAGAUGCAAAUUAGCGUCCGCUUUUUGAGAUUUAGCGUUCGUUUAAAAAAAGGACGCUAAUUAGCAUCUGUUUAGUUAAAAUACCGUCCGUUAGACGGACGCUAAAUAUGAGGUAUAAAUUUUAAAAAAAACCUCCAGUCGACCAAAUUAUCAACCCUAACACACGCCUCUCUCUUCCUCACUCUCAUCUCACGUUUCUCUCUCUUCCUCACUCUCAUCUCACAUUUUGGUGCUCUCUCUUUCUUGUAGAUCUCACGAAAUCAGAUAUCUGCUGCAACAUUUCCAGUUGGCCUAAUAAUGUCAGAGGUAAGUGCAUCACUUGAGAAAUACUGCUCCGUCUAGUUGCACGGAAAUGGAAAUGGAAAUGGAAAUGGAAAUGGCAAUGCGGAUACUGCUGGAGCAAGGAGCCAUCAUCUUUGAGUGCAUGCAGGAUUACCAAGUUACAGGAAUGAUUAUAGUAUUGGGGGUUAUAAGAUUUGCAUUUGAGUUCCAGAUUUGAAGUUGGUUUUGAUCCAAAUACCAGAUACCAGAUUUGAUGUCCGUUUUGGUUCUAGAUUUUUGUUGAGUUUAAAGUGUACAUGUAAUAUGAGAUUUGUAUUAGAUUUUGUUCUAAGUAUACUAGAAUUUAGUUCUAGAAUUAUUUUUUCACUUGUAUCUACAUUUAUUAUUAAUAAUAAUUGAAUUGAUUAAUUUGUUUGCCUUAAUAAAAUAAGUAUGGUAUUUGCAUCA